GUGGCAGCUGGCAACUUUGUAUUCUGGUACCACAGGUCCACAGCCCACAGCCACAACUACUCUUUUUCCAUGGGUUUAUGAAGGGUUUUUUCUGACAACGUGUGUGUUCGAGCGAUCUAGGGAGAGAGAGCCCUUCCAAUCUUGAAGGUGGACGAAUCUGAUAAUGGAUAAUCCAAACGAUCCUUCUCUGAGAUGUCCUCACUGUGCUGGUCCUCUCUCCAAAGAUAUGGAAACUAGUAGUUGGACUGUUUCACCAUUAAUCAGGGACAGUUUUUCUUUGAUUGGUACUGCUGUUGGGGGCACGGCGAGCGCGUUCUAUGGAUUUAACCAUGCAAUGCCAAUUGUUCAAAGGUGGAUUAAGGGGCCUAUGUGGUUACAUUUUCUCAUAGGUGCUCCGCCUGUCAUAGUUUUUUCUUCAACUUGUGCUGGAUUGGCAGGUGGUGCAGUUCCUGCUCUAGCCCAACUUGUAUCUUCAUCUUAUCAUGCGGCCAUUUCAAAUUCAUCAUUGCCACCAGCUUCUUCACAGGAUGACAAGAAGAUGCAUAAAUCGAGAACCUCUUCUACCCUCUAAUUUAUUCAGUCUUCAUUGAGAUUUAGAGUGCCCAAUAAAACUUGGGAUCCGAGCCCACUCCACUGAGGAAUUGGGACCUUGGAUCGGAUGUAACAUCUCAGAAAAGUGGAAAGCUUUUUUCACUUUUUCAAUCGGAAUUGGCGUUGCUUCAACUGCAAUAAACACGAGCUCAUCAAUAGAAUAGAUUAGAGGUGAUUUCACAUUUCAGAUUCAAUACACCCCUGUCCGAAAUUCUAGGCAUGAUGCCAUUGUAUUGUAUAUCAUAUAAAUAAAUGGACAUUGAUU